GCCAGAUGAUUUCAAUCCUUAUUUUCUGAUGCUCCGUGAGGUACAGAUAUCAUAGCAUGUUAGAGUUCUGAUGGCA
rnacentral:snoRNA from 13 species